UACGGCCACAUCACGUCGAAACACCGGUUCUCGUACGAUCACUUAAGUUAAGCAACGUCGUAUCUGAUCAGUAACUAGAUGGGUGACCUCUUAGGAAUACCAUGG